rnacentral:rRNA from 1 species
AACGAACGCUGGCGGCAUGCCUAACACAUGCAAGUCGAACGAGACCUUCGGGUCUAGUUGCGCACGGGUGCGUAACGCGUGGGAACCUGCCCUUAGGUUCGGAAUAACUCCCCGAAAGGGGUGCUAAUACCGGAUAAUGUCUUCGGACCAAAGAUUUAUCGCCUUUGGAUGGGCCCGCGUUGGAUUAGCUAGUUGGUAGGGUAAAAGCCUACCAAUGCGACGAUCCAUAGCUGGACUGAGAGCAUGAUCAGCCACACUGGGACUGAGACCCGGCCCAGAUUCCUACGGGAGGAAGCGGUGGGGAAUAUUGGACAACGGGCGCAAGCCUGAUACAGCCAUGCCGCGUGAGUGAUGAAGGCGUUAGGGUUGUAAAGCUCUUUUACCCGGGAUGAUAAGGACAGUACCGGGAGAAUAAGCUCCGGCUAACUCCGUG